AGAAGACACCUGUUUCAGUUUGACUUUUUACGGGGAGGGGUACUCAGAGGGGACUGAUCCCGCGCAGGGCCGACCCAACACAAAGAUCUGCACUCAGGUCAUAGGAGCAGAGCCUGGUUAUGUCGCUACAGUUUCUGCUAUUGUACAAGCAGCCCUAACCCUGCUGAAUGAAUUGCACUCUCUUCCCAGGAGAGGAGGGGUGUACACUCCAGGAGCUGCCUUCCACAAAACCAGUCUGAUCGAGCGUCUCCAAAAUCACAGCAUCAAGUUCUCAGUCAAAAGCUACGAAUAAAAAGCUCACGCCACUUCCCAGUUACAGGAUAUCAUAUUUUAACCGAUGUCCACUGUGGAUGUUGCCCCGCUUUCCAACGAGUCAACAUAAUCACUUUCAAGCUGAACCCUGCAUCGACUGGUUAUUGGUCGUCAGUGAGAGUUGAUCCAAGGGGUCAAAGCUGGGAAAGGAGCAAUCACAGCAGGAAGAGAAUCAUUGUCUUGUUCAAAGACACACUUCUACACACUGGCCUCCUCUCAUUAAAACCUACGGAUCCCUAAAUCUCUUAAAACAGCAUGUGUUGACUAUGCAUUAAUGAAAAAUAAGCUGUAUUGAUUUAAUCAAUAAUAAUCUUCAUUUUCAACACUUAUUAAACACUAAUUUAAAACAGAGCAGAAACUAUAGAAAUAUCUAUAUCUAAUCUAUAGUAAGCGUGAAGUCAGUAUGUUUCUUUUAAAUAGUGUAAAAUCAAGAAUAUUUAACUUAAGUCGUUCCUGGAAGAGGAUGCAUGACCGUGCCUUCUAGCACCUUGUCAUCAUCUCACUGUAUGAUAGAGACAAGACGUUGGAAUACAUUUCAAACCUUUGAAGUGUUCUUGCAAGCUUACAGUUGUGUGUUAACUAAUUAAACACUAAGGAUAUACUGUUACAGGAUGAGCCUGGCUAUAUUCUGAUACUGUACCAACAAUGCAUGUAUCUUCUGACAAGCAUCAUCUGUGUAUUCAAAGCCUGAUGUGUCUCAUUCCUGUGUGACACAGCUGCAUUGUUGCCCAAUUAAAAACAUAUCAAUGAG